rnacentral:lncRNA from 1 species
GUUACAUUCAGUUAGAGCCUGAGAGCAGAAUUUGGUUAGGCUGAAGCAGCUGUAAACUGUGGAAUGUAAUACCAGAGAGGAGACUGCCACACAAAGAACUCUAAAAAUUUUGAUUUUCAGCAAACCUUCAGAAGGCAAAAGGGAAAGUUUUCCCAUGGGCCAACGUGGAUAUGUUUCUGUAAUAGUCUGCUCAGCCUUCUACAACAAGAUGUCACAGACUGGGUGACUUAAACCAGGGAUCCUCAAACCCUGGCAAUGGAUCGGUACGGGUCAGUGGCCUGUUAGGAAUCAGGCCACG